rnacentral:rRNA from 1 species
UAGUGAGUUUGAUCCUGGCUCAGGGUGAACGCUGGCGGCGUGCCUAAGACAUGCAAGUCGAACGCAGUAGCUUGCUACUGAGUGGCGCACGGGUGAGUAACACGUAACUGACCUACCCCGUAGUCCCGCACAACGGUCCGAAAGGACCGCUAAUUCGGGAUGUGAACCCGCACCGUGGUGCGUGUUUAAAGAUUCAUCGCUAUGGGGAUGGGGGUUGCGGCGCAUCAGCUC